rnacentral:rRNA from 1 species
GUCGACCGCCUGGGGAGUACGGCCGCAAGGUUAAAACUCAAAUGAAUUGACGGGGGCCCGCACAAGCGGUGGAGCAUGUGGUUUAAUUCGAUGCAACGCGAAGAACCUUACCUACUCUUGACAUCCAGCGAACUUAGCAGAGAUGCUUUGGUGCCUUCGGGAACGCUGAGACAGGUGCUGCAUGGCUGUCGUCAGCUCGUGUUGUGAAAUGUUGGGUUAAGUCCCGCAACGAGCGCAACCCUUAUCCUUUGUUGCCAGCGAUUCGGUCGGGAACUCAAAGGAGACUGCCGGUGAUAAACCGGAGGAAGGUGGGGAUGACGUCAAGUCAUCAUGGCCCUUACGAGUAGGGCUACACACGUGCUACAAUGGCGCAUACAAAGAGAAGCGACCUCGCGAGAGCAAGCGGACCUCACAAAGUGCGUCGUAGUCCGGAUCGGAGUCUGCAACUCGACUCCGUGAAGUCGGAAUCGCUAGUAAUCGUGGAUCAGAAUGCCACGGUGAAUACGUUCCCGGGCCUUGUACACACCGCCCGUCACACCAUGGGAGUGGGUUGCAAAAGAAGUAGGUAGCUUAACCUUCGGGAGGGCGCUUACCACUUUGUGAUUCAUGACUGGGGUGAAGUCGUAACAAGGUAACCGUAGGGGAACCUGCGGUUGGAUCACCUCCUUA